rfam:Gossypium hirsutum cultivar TM-1 chromosome 8, whole genome shotgun sequence
AACCCAUGGUGAGGGCACCUUCUCAAUAGAUCAUUGUAUCUCUCUCAUACAUCAUAGAGUGUUUCCAAAUCCAUCUGCACAAAAGAAGAAAUAUCAUUCCUUAAUUU